CUUGCUUCUCUUGAGAGCGGCGGACGGGUGAGUAAUGCCUAGGAAUCUGCCUGGUAGUGGGGGAUAACGUCCGGAAACGGACGCUAAUACCGCAUACGUCCUACGGGAGAAAGCAGGGGACCUUCGGGCCUUGCGCUAUCAGAUGAGCCUAGGUCGGAUUAGCUAGUUGGUGGGGUAAUGGCUCACCAAGGCGACGAUCCGUAACUGGUCUGAGAGGAUGAUCAGUCACACUGGAACUGAGACACGGUCCAGACUCCUACGGGAGGCAGCAGUGGGGAAUAUUGGACAAUGGGCGAAAGCCUGAUCCAGCCAUGCCGCGUGUGUGAAGAAGGUCUUCGGAUUGUAAAGCACUUUAAGUUGGGAGGAAGGGCAGUAAAUUAAUACUUUGCUGUUUUGACGUUACCGACAGAAUAAGCACCGGCUAACUCUGUGCCAGCAGCCGCGGUAAUACAGAGGGUGCAAGCGUUAAUCGGAAUUACUGGGCGUAAAGCGCGCGUAGGUGGUUCGUUAAGUUGGAUGUGAAAUCCCCGGGCUCAACCUGGGAACUGCAUUCAAAACUGA
rnacentral:rRNA from 1 species